rnacentral:rRNA from 1 species
UACGAAGGGGGCUAGCGUUGCUCGGAAUCACUGGGCGUAAAGGGUGCGUAGGCGGGUCUUUAAGUCAGGGGUGAAAUCCUGGAGCUCAACUCCAGAACUGCCUUUGAUACUGAAGAUCUUGAGUUCGGGAGAGGUAAGUGGAAUUGCGAGUGUAGAGGUGAAAUUCGUAGAUAUUCGCAAGAACACCAGUGGCGAAGGCGGACUCACUGGCCCGGUACUGACGCUGAGGUGCGAAAGCGUGGGGAGCAAACAGGG